GGCUCAUUAAAUCAGUUAUCGUUUAUUUGAUAGUACCUUACUACAUGGAUAACCGUGGUAAUUCUAGAGCUAAUACAUGCUAAAAACCCCAACUUCGGGAGGGGUGUAUUUAUUAGAUAAAAAACCAAUGCCCUUCGGGGCUCCUUGGUGAUUCAUAAUAACUUCUCAGAUCGCAUGGCUUUACGCCGGCGACGGUUCAUUCAAAUUUCUGCCCUAUCAACUUUCGAUGGUAAGGUAGUGGCUUACCAUGGUUUCAACGGGUAACGGGGAAUUAGGGUUCGAUUCCGGAGAGGGAGCCUGAGAAACGGCUACCACAUCCAAGGAAGGCAGCAGGCGCGCAAAUUACCCAAUUCCGAUACGGAGAGGUAGUGACAAUAAAUACUGAUACAGGGCUCUUUUGGGUCUUGUAAUUGGAAUGAGUACAAUUUAAACCUCUUAACGAGGAACAAUUGGAGGGCAAGUCUGGUGCCAGCAGCCGCGGUAAUUCCAGCUCCAAUAGCGUAUAUUAAAGUUGUUGCAGUUAAAAAGCUCGUAGUUGAACCUUUGGCCUGGCUGGCAGGUCCGCCUCACCGCGUGCACUUGUCCGGCCGGGCCUUUUCUUCUGGAGAACCGCAUGCCCUUCACUGGGUGUGUUGGGGACCAGGACUUUUACUUUGAAAAAAUUAGAGUGUUCAAAGCAGGCCUUUGCUCGAAUACGUUAGCAUGGAAUAAUAGAAUAGGACGUGCGGUCCUAUUUUGUUGGUUUCUAGGACCGCCGUAAUGAUUAAUAGGGACAGUCGGGGGCAUCAGUAUUCAAUUGUCAGAGGUGAAAUUCUUGGAUUUAUUGAAGACUAACUACUGCGAAAGCAUUUGCCAAGGAUGUUUUCAUUAAUCAGUGAACGAAAGUUAGGGGAUCGAAGACGAUCAGAUACCGUCGUAGUCUUAACCAUAAACUAUGCCGACUAGGGAUCGGGCGGUGUUUCUAUU
rnacentral:rRNA from 1 species